rnacentral:rRNA from 1 species
AGUGAACGCUGGCGGUAGGCCUAACACAUGCAAGUCGAACUGCAGCACAGAGGAGCUUGCUCCUUGGGUGGCGAGUGGCGGACGGGUGAGGAGUACAUCGGAAUCUACUCUGUCGUGGGGGAUAACGUAGGGAAACUUACGCUAAUACCGCAUACGACCUACGGGUGAAAGCAGGGGACCUUCGGCCUUGCGCGAUUGAAUGGGCCGAUGUCGGCUUAGCUAGUUGGCGGGGUAAAGGCCCACCAAGGCGACGAUCCGUAGCUGGUCUGAAAGGAUGAUCAGCCACACUGAAACUGAUACACGGUCCAGACUUCUACGGGAGGCAGCAGUGGGGAAUAUUGGACAAUGGGCGCAAGCCUGAUGCAGCCAUACCGCGUGGGUGAAGUAGGCCUUCGGGUUGUAAAUCCCUUUUGUUGGGAAAGAAAUCCAUCUGGUUAAUACCCGGGUGGGAUGACGGUACCCAAAGAAUAAGCACCGGCUAACUUCGUGCCAGCCGCCGCCGUAA